GGCGGAGCUGGCGGCGGCGGAGAGGAGGCGGCACGGCCGGAGCAGAGAGCCGGGGCUGGCGGGGACAGCGAUGCUCGGGCGGCGGAGCGGCGGGAUGCGGCGGGGUCGGGGCGCGGGGCUGGCGGCGCUGGCCGCGGUGCUGCUCGUGGCUACAGUGAGAGCCCAGGUGCAGCAGGAGCCGUGGCUGGAGACCACCGAGGGCACCGGCACCACCAUCAACUGUUCCCACCCCUCCAAACAGAUCGGCUAUUACAUCCAUUUCUACCGUCAGCUCCCGGGCAAAAGCCCGAAUUCCUCGUACUCACUGCUAGAGGAACCAAGGAUCUGGCGGACAUUGCAGGACAGCUGUCGGUGUCGGAGGACGGCCGGAACAGCGCUCUGUACCUCGCUCGGCCCCGGCGCGGGGACGCGGCCGUGUAUUACUGCGCGCUGGGUGACACGGGCACAGGAGCCGCGGCUGCGGCCGGGCACGAACCGCCGCGGGCGGGGACAGCAGGGGACAACAGGGGACAACAGGGGACAACAGGGGACAACAGGGGGCGCUGCCGCUCCGCUCGAGAGCCUCUCGGGAACAGCCCCGAGCAGCAGCUUCCCAAGAUCAACAGGAGCCGAAGUGUAGUUGAGCGCUGCCGGCACCUGCCCCAUACAGAUGUGUCCAGGGAAGAGGCGCUGAAAUGCAGCCCCUGUCUC